rnacentral:rRNA from 1 species
UACGAAGGGGGCUAGCGUUGUUCGGAUUUACUGGGCGUAAAGCGCACGUAGGCGGGUCGUUAAGUCAGUUGUGAAAUCCCCGGGCUCAACCCGGGAACUGCUUCUGAUACUGGCGGACUUGAGGCCAGUAGGGGUCACUAGAACUGACGGUGGAGCGGUGAAAUGCGUAGAUAUCGUCAGGAAUGCCGGUGGUGAAGACGGGUGACUGGGCUGGUUCUGACACUGAGGCACGAAAGCGUGGGGAGCGAACGGG